UGGGGGAUCGUCCAAUGGCAGGACGGCAGACUCUGGAUCUGUCUAUCGGGGUUCGAAUCCCUGUCCCCCAG
rnacentral:tRNA from 1 species